GGUUAUAGCUCAGUGGAAGAGCAUCUGCCUGGCAUGCAAAAGGCCCUGGGUUUGAUACCCAGCACCACCA
rnacentral:tRNA from 1 species